AACGAACGCUGGCGGCAUUCCUAACACAUGCAAGUCGAACGAGACCUUCGGGUCUAGUGGCGCACGGGUGCGUAACGCGUGGGAAUCUGCCCUUGGGUUCGGAAUAACAGUUAGAAAUGACUGCUAAUACCGGAUGAUGUCUUCGGACCAAAGAUUUAUCGCCCAGGGAUGAGCCCGCGUAGGAUUAGCUUGUUGGUGAGGUAAAGGCUCACCAAGGCGACGAUCCUUGGCUGGUCUGAGAGGAUGAUCAGCCACACUGGGACUGAGACACGGCCCAGACUCCUACGGGAGGCAGCAGUGGGGAAUAUUGGACAAUGGGCGAAAGCCUGAUCCAGCAAUGCCGCGUGAGUGAUGAAGGCCUUAGGGUUGUAAAGCUCUUUUACCCGGGAUGAUAAUGACAGUACCGGGAGAAUAAGCCCCGGCUAACUCCGUGCCAGCCGCCGCCGUAAUAC
rnacentral:rRNA from 1 species